rnacentral:rRNA from 1 species
GACGAACGCUGGCGGCGUGCUUAACACAUGCAAGUCGAACGGAAAGGCCCUUUUGGGGGUACUCGAGUGGCGAACGGGUGAGUAACACGUGAGUAACCUGCCCCUGACUUCGGGAUAACUUCAGGAAACUGGGGCUAAUACCGGAUAGGAAUCCUUGCUGCAUGGUGGGGGUUGGAAAGCUUCGGCGGUUUUGGAUGGACUCGCGGCUUAUCAGCUUGUUGGUGGGGUAGUGGCUUACCAAGGCUUUGACGGGUAGCCGGCCUGAGAGGGCGACCGGCCACAUUGGGACUGAGAUACGGCCCAGACUCCUACGGGAGGCAGCAGUGGGGAAUAUUGCACAAUGGGCGGAAGCCUGAUGCAGCAACGCCGCGUGCGGGAUGACGGCCUUCGGGUUGUAAACCGCUUUCAGCAGGGGCGAAGCUUGUGGUGACGGUACCUGCAGAAGAAGCACCGGCUAACUACGUG